GUCGUACUCCCGUUCCGCACCGUGGACAACUCCGUUUCGCCGGUCCCUAAAUCACGCGCCCACCUCGCUCUAAUCCCGCCCCAUCCCAAACAUCUCCCUGGCGCACGCCCCUCCCCUUCCGUGCCUACAGAUCCACAGGCGACGGAAUCGCCGGCGGCCCGGCGCGGAGGAAGCCCGAGGUCGGCGAGGAGGCGCCGACCGUCCCGUCGUCUUUCUGCAGCAGCUGCCGGUCUCGGCUCCGUCUCGCCCCCAACCAGGAGUCACCGUCCCCUCCCCUUUUCCUCUCCAUCUCUCCAUUCAUGGUGCAGCGGCGUCAGAUGCAACUGCCUACUCAGGGUUCUGCGGUGUUUGCGGACCCGAGGAUGAACGGGGAUGGCGGCGGCUUCAUGAAAGGAGCUGAACAUGCGGCGGCCUGAACUCUUCCAAGGGGCUAACCUCCAUCUCGUCAAUUGCAGGAGCAUGACCGGGAGAACCAUUUUGGCAUCAGUCAGAUUGGAGGCGGGAGGUCAAGAUGAACGCGAAGACGCUGGGAGAGGAGAGCAGUGCGGAGGAAGGAGGGCAGAGGCCAAGACCCGGCCAGCAGGACAGCCACCACGCCGCCUUCUUCUCACCUCCGUGACGCCAUCCUCCUCUGUGUAUUUGCGCCCAGAUGUCGAGUCCUCAUCCACUCAGCUGCUACUGACUAAGCAUCCAGCUGAAACUAUACCUCUGUAGUUGGCGGACGAAACAUAGAUGGAAUCUUAUCCAUUGGUGGAGGAGCUCGAGAGCUCAGUACAGAUCCGCCCAACGUCCCGCACCUCUCAGCCAUCAGGCCCAAUACAUGUUCCAGUUCAGCUUCAUCGCGUCCCAGAUGUACGAGACACACAGUAAAUUUUGGAUAAGAUAAGAUGGUUUUGUUUGAUCUCAAGAGUAUAGAGUAUGGACCUGGAAUCAUUUUGCUCGGACGGGUAGAAGCCUUAUACAUAUGGUUAUAGCACGAAAUUAGCUGAAGUGGACCAAGGUGCACUUUUUGUGUGAGUUGUUCCGCAGGGAAAGCAGUGUUCUCCUCGACGACAGCAUCAACAGGUGGUUUUUACACCAUCAGGAUCAGUAAGGAGCAUCCGGAAUUAAAGAACAGAUAUGGUUACAAGCAAACUCCCUUUCAAUCUGAGAACAAAGUUCGCUUCUCAAGCGAAACCACUAUACAAAGGCCUAGAGGAAAUAACUGAUUCAUCCUGAGGAAGGUGAGCUCGAAAGUUCAGAUUCCUCAUGGUUGACGCAUCAGAUGUGAAAACCCAUUCACACUGAACUAAUUCAGCUCGAAAGUUCAAAUUCCGCUUGGUUGAUGCAUCAAAACCUAUCCACGCUCAAUACGUGAACUAAUUCCAUGCCUUCUUAUGUUGAUAACUCAUUGGUAGUUCCACAAGGAAUCCGGGGCAUCUUAGGAAGCGAAUACGGCUAACGUUGCUGCAGUAGCAGAGGUUCCUCAUGUCAGGCUCAGUGAUGACAUACGUGUGUCUGAUGGAGGAAAUCUGAGUGCACACUGCAUUUCUUGUGGCUGUAAUAUAGUGUAGUCAUGAUCAAAUAUAUCAUUAACGUGAGAUGAGAUAGUGUCGCACAAAUAUGUAUUUCUUGAGUCUUGUUAAUACAUUAUUCUUCAUGCAGAUAAACAUGGUCCAGUCUUUCAGAAGUAUAGCAGACUAUGACAGUAAUGAAAACAUUGUUGUUGAUUCAGUAUUUUGGAACCACAUCAUCCGUUUCAGCACAUUUAGUAGAAUAAGCAUGGACGCAUGUUGACAGAAACUCUAAAUAGCAGAUGAUUACUCAUUCUGUACAGUUAUCAUGCUUCCUUUGUACCAUCACAUAGAUACGCAGAUAACCAAUGAUUUCUAGAGACCAUGAGGUAUGUGUUUGAGCAUUUCAUAGUUGUCUCUUUCAUCGGUAGCGAGUAAGUGGUCUGCAGCUUCUCAAUUUUUCUUUUCUCAAAUGUUCUUUGGUGGUUGCUAGAUCCAUGCUAGAUCAGUAUGUGGUUUUUGAAGCCUUAGCUAGCUAAUUUGAUUUGAAGCAAACAUUUCUUUAUCCUUCCAAAUAGUGCAAUUUAGAUCUCCAGUUCUCUCUCCUUCUAUUAUUUAGAGUACAAAUGUUCCGAACAAAAGUGUUGGUUGUGAUCUAAAUUUUUUUUUGUUGUCUCGCUGUCAGGAGCAGACCGUCGCAACCGCUUGCUUCGCCAUGAAUUUUCCUCUAGAUCUAAUCCAAAGGGGAAGUGAUGGAGCAUGAUGUUGAAGAGAAGGAAUGUGAGAAAGAUGGGGAUAGCACACAGGGAAUAGGUAAGCAUCUGAGUUGCUGAUAGGAAGGAGAGAGAUAAAAAAAAAUUGAGCUCAGUUGUACACUUGUAUUGAUGGGGAUAGCCGGCCGACACCAGCGAUGGUUGUGGAGGUCGCUGGCCAAGAACUCGUGCUCAUGCUCAUGGUGGCCGGCACCGUUAAAGUUAUUAUUAUUUUGUUACCUUGAUGAAAUAUGUAACCGUUAUUUGAGAUAAUGAAGUUAUCUUCAAUAAAACGAAUCUAAGUUUGUAUUU